rnacentral:rRNA from 1 species
UACGGGGGGAGCAAGCGUUGUUCGGAAUCAUUGGGCGUAAAGCGCGCGCAGGCGGCCCGGUAAGUCCGCUGUAAAAGUCAAAGGCUCAACCUUUGAAUGUCAGUGGAUACUGCCGGGCUAGAGUCCGGAAGAGGAGAGUGGAAUUCCCGGUGUAGCGGUGAAAUGCGCAGAUAUCGGGAAGAACACCCGUGGCUAAGGCGGCUCUCUAGUACGGUACUGACGCUGAGACGCGAAAGCGUGGGGAGCGAACAGG